UACAGAGGGGGCAAGCGUUAUUCGGAAUUAUUGGGCGUAAAGGGCGCGUAGGCGGCCUGACAAGUGGAAGGUGAAAUCCCCGGGCUCAACCCGGGAACUGCGUCCGAUACUGGCAGGCUUGAAUCCGGGAGAGGGAUGCGGAAUUCCAGGUGUAGCGGUGAAAUGCGUAGAUAUCUGGAGGAACACCGGUGGCGAAGGCGGCAUCCUGGACCGGCAUUGACGCUGAGGCGCGAAAGCCAGGGGAGCAAACGGG
rnacentral:rRNA from 1 species